rnacentral:rRNA from 1 species
UUCCGGUUGAUCCUGCCGGAGGCUACCGCUAUUGGAGUUCGAUUAAGCCAUGCGAGUCCAGAGCUUUCGGAGCUCGGCGUACCGCUCAGUAACACGUGGGUAACCUAACCUAUGCAGGGGAAUAACCUCGGGAAACUGAGAAUAAUGCCCCAUAGUCCACUACGCCUGGAACGGUGAGUGGAUGAAAGCUCAGGCGGCAUAGGAUGGGCCUGCGGCGUAUCAGGUUGUAGGGGGUGUAAAGUACCCUCUAGCCCUCUACGCGUACGGGUGUUGGGAGACAUAGCCCGGAGAUGGAUUCUGAGACACGAAUCCAGACCCUACGGGGUGCAGCAGGCGCGAAAACUUGGCAAUGCGAGCAAUCGUGACCAGGGAACUCCAAGUGGCUGGGGUAAGACCCAGUCUUUUCAGAACUCUUCAAAGGUUUUAGAAUAAGGGGUGGGUAAGGACGGUGCCAGCCGCCGCGGUAAUACCGGCGCCUCAAGUGGUAGUCGCUUUUAUUGGGCCUAAAACGUCCGUAGCCGGUUUGGUACAUUCGUGGGUAAAUCAACUCGCUCAACGAGUUGAAUUCUGCGAGGACGGCCAGACUUGGGACCGGGAGAGGUGUGGGGUACUCUCAGGGUAGGGGUAAAAUCCUGUCAUCCUGAGAGGACCACCUGUUGCGAAGGCGCCACACUAGAACGGAUCCGACGGUCAGGGACGAAGCCUAGGGGCACGAACCGGAUUAGAUACCCGGGUAGUCCUAGGUGUAAACGCUGUGGACUUGAUGUUGGAGGAGCUCCGAGCUCUUUCAGUGUCGAAGCGAAGGUGAUAAGUCCACUGCCUGGGAAGUACGGUCGCAAGGCUGAAACUUAAAGGAAUUGGCGGGGGAGCACCGCAACCUGAGGAUUGUGCGGUUCAAUUGGAUUCAACGCCGGA